CAGAAAAUAGUUUAUAAAAAAUAUUAAUUUUGGAGAUUAAUGAAAAAAAAUUUUUUUUUUUCUGA
rnacentral:tRNA from 1 species